UUCGGACAAUAUACAAGGUGCUGCAUGGUUGUCGUCAGCUCGUGCCGUGAGGUGUCGGGUUAAGUCCCAUAACGAGCGCCAACCCCUAUCAUUAGUUGCCAUCAGGUCAAGCGUGGGGACUCUAAUGAAACUGCCUACGCAAGUAGUGAGGAAGGUGGGGAUGACGUCAAAUCAGCACGGCCCUUACGUCCAGGGCUACACACGUGCUACAAUGGCCGGUACAAAGGGCAGCUACCUGGUGACAGGAUGCUAAUCUCAAAAGCCGGUCUCAGUUCGGAUCGGAGUCUGCAACCCGACUCCGUGAAGCUGGAAUCGCUAGUAAUUGCGCAUCAGCCAUGGCGCGGUGAAUACGUUCCCGGGCCUU
rnacentral:rRNA from 1 species